rnacentral:rRNA from 1 species
UACGUAGGGGGCGAGCGUUGUCCGGAAUCACUGGGCGUAAAGGGCGCGUAGGCGGUAUAUUAAGUCAGGUGGAAAGUUUUCGGCUCAACCGGAAAAGUGCACUUGAAACUAAUAAACUUGAGUACUGGAGAGGUAAGCGGAAUUCCUAGUGUAGCGGUGAAAUGCGUAGAUAUUAGGAGGAAUACCAGUUGCGAAGGCGGCUCUCUGGACUGUAACUGACACUGAGGCACGAAAGCGUGGGGAGCAAACAGGAUUAGAUACCCGGGUAGUCCCUGAGCGGGCUGG